AUGUAGACAGUGCUUGUCUUUUGCGGAUUUUUUAAGGUGAAAAUGGAUAAAUUCUAAAUAAAUAAGGAUACACACAUAAUCAAUUUUCAAAGUUUAUCAAGGAAAAAGAAGGGAUAUUGUAUGAUGUAUGACUGACACAAAAUCCCUAAGUGCACUGGACAAAAACCUUGCAACUGAAUAGUGUGGUGCUUUUAUUGAUAUUCAUCAUUUCAUUCACACUGAGUCUUUGCAUGGUGACAUAUAUUAAUUCGAAUAAAAGUUACGUAUACAAAGAAUCAACAAACUGAUCUUCGAAAAAUUACCAAAUGAAUUAAAUACAUGUAUGCUUUUACUUAUUUGCAUUUUAUAAUGAUAAUCAGUUAUUAAAGGUUUUCUUUU